rnacentral:lncRNA from 1 species
GGUUAGCUGGGCUAAAGAAGGUUCCUCUCCCCAGCCCCUCGGCAGUUUAGAAACCCAGGUCUUCGGAGGGGUUCAAGCCCCACCGGCUAGAGGGUUGCCAGCUUCAAGUCUGAGGACAAGUAAAUGACCAUCAGCUUGGGCUAGAGCUUACUGCAGUGGAUCACUUCACUGAAAGGGAUUGUUUCCAGAAGGCCAGAACUUGGCCUGGCGUGGAAGCAAAUGAUCUCAACGGAACUUCUGGUUAAUGCACCGGUACUUCCUGAGUCAUUUCUGGUCUUCCUCACUUGGAUCCUCCAACUGCCUCCUCAAAACUCCAUAUCUGCAGGGAAAUCAUUCUUUUCGCUCCUUGGCAUUUACAAUUUCCAGGUAAUUGCAAUCUUCUCAUACCCUCCCUAUGAAUUCCCCUAGCAGGUGCUUACACCAGUUCUCGAUAUUUAUCCAUUUCAGUGUUUCUGUGUACAUCAUAUGGACCCUACCGCUUACUGAUCCCAUCACUGCUCUUUUCAGAAUUCCUCCUAUUUUUUGGUUAUCUUCCUGGUACGGAAGAGGCUGGACGAAGCUAAUUUAGUAUUCCAGCAGUGAUUUCCUUAGCAUUCUUGAAAAAUGAUUUGUUCAGUAAUAUGAUGUCUUUUUGCUUAAGACCUAAAGAGAGCACCAGAUGGGAUUAGCCUAGCCGGUAGGUCAAACUUUACUUCAAUAACUGAUGGAGAAUCUAGCAGUGUCCCCUGUUGUAUUAGGAUGAAAUAUCCUAGGAAUAUAUGUUAAGGCCAACCCUUGGCUUCCCAAAAUGAAUGACUUCUACAACAGCAGGCUAGGGAAGGACCCAGCUGGGCAAUGACUUGUGUGAAAAUGAUCUGAGGGGCUUGGUGGACCACAAAUAUAACUUGAGGCAGUGGUACGACGGGUCAGACACAGACACUAACUACCUUUAGGUUGCAUAAAGAGAGAGGCACUGUGUCCAGAACAAGUAGGGAUAUAGCCCCAUUACACUCUGGCAUGGACUCUGUAAUUUCAGAGUGGGAAGGUCAUGUUUGGCUUUGGGUGCAAUAUUUUUGGCAGGCCAUUGAUAAAACUGGAGAGAAUCCAGAAGAGGGCAAUAAGAUUGAUCUGGGACUGUAAGUCAUGCCAUUUGAGUUUCAGUUAAAGAAACUGAGAACAACAUUUAGCCCAGAGAAGUAAAGACUUGGGGAAUGUGUGUCUGGUGGGGAGGCAGGAAGGACUGUCACACCAAAGAAGUAUCAGAUUUGUUCUGCCCCAGUGGGGGCAAGGGAGAAAAGGAGGGCAGAAAGACACGGUUCAGUUUGACGUAAAAGAAAACCUCCAGCCACAAGUGGAACAGGCUGCUUUGGGAACUAGUAGACUCCCUUUCACUGAAAAUGUUCAAGUGGAGGCUGAAAGACCACUUGUU